UGGGGAAUUUUGGACAAUGGGCGAAAGCCUGAUCCAGCAAUGCCGCGUGUGUGAAGAAGGCCUUCGGGUUGUAAAGCACUUUUGUCCGGAAAGAAAUCCUUGGCUCUAAUACAGUCGGGGGAUGACGGUACCGGAAGAAUAAGCACCGGCUAACUACGUGCCAGCAGCCGCGGUAAUACGUAGGGUGCAAGCGUUAAUCGGAAUUACUGGGCGUAAAGCGUGCGCAGGCGGUUUUGUAAGACAGAGGUGAAAUCCCCGGGCUCAACCUGGGAACUGCCUUUGUGACUGCAAGGCUUGAGUGCGGCAGAGGGGGAUGGAAUUCCGCGUGUAGCAGUGAAAUGCGUAGAUAUGCGGAGGAACACCGAUGGCGAAGGCAAUCCCCUGGGCCUGCACUGACGCUCAUGCACGAAAGCGUGGGGAGCAAACAGGAUUAGAUACCCUGGUAGUCCACGCCCUAAACGAUGUCAACUAGUUGUUGGGGAUUCAUUUCCUUAGUAACGUAGCUAACGCGUGAAGUU
rnacentral:rRNA from 1 species